UACGUAGGGGGCUAGCGUUGUCCGGAAUCAUUGGGCGUAAAGCGCGUGUAGGCGGUCCGGUAAGUCCGCUGUGAAAGUCGGGGGCUCAACCCUCGAAUGCCGGUGGAUACUGUCGGGCUAGAGUGCGGAAGAGGCGAGUGGAAUUCCUGGUGUAGCAGUGAAAUGCGUAGAUAUCAGGAGGAACACCGAUGGCGAAGGCAGCCUUCUGGGCCAACACUGACGCUCAUGCACGAAAGCGUGGGGAGCAAACAGG
rnacentral:rRNA from 1 species